rnacentral:rRNA from 1 species
CGUUCAGGGGUAAACCUGUGAAACUCGAAUGAACGAACGGGGAGAUUCAUCUUCAUUCAUCGGGCGGCGCUGGCGGCGUGCGAUGGGUGGCCCUUCGGCGGUUUCGAUCGUCGUUGUGAGCUGUUCACGCGCCCGCUUUGCGCAGUCAGUCCGAUGACGUCGUGCACUUCUCCCUUAGUAAUGCAUCGCGACCCGCUCGAUGCCGGUCUAAGCCCUGUCCGGGUGCACGCGGCACCUUGUGUGCUGCGUACCGUGACGGGUGCCGGCCGGUUGUUGGGCGGUAUUAGACGUGAAACGCGCACGCGCUUGUCGCGUCCGGCCCGACGCAAGGUCGCUGUGAUUUCGCCGCUGCGCCUGAGUGCGCACGGUUGGGGUCCGGCGCCUGCUCGUGGCAGCCGUGUCGUCUCGGACGUGCGUGUAUCCAGUCAUGCGAUGUUUUUGUUUCGGGCACUCACAGGACCCGUCUUGAAACACGGACCAAGGAGUCUAGCAUGUGUGCGAGUCACUAGGUUCAUAAACCGAAAGGCGCAACGAAAGUGAAGGCACGCGCUAGUCGCGCGCUUGGGGAGGAUGGCGAAUGGCUCUCAAGGCUCUCGCCCGCACUCCCGAGGCGUCCCGUUCGCAAUCUGUCGAUGUGGGCGCGCUCAGAGCACACAUGCUGGGACCCGAAAGAUGGUGAACUAUGCCUGGUCAGGUCGAAGUCAGGGGAAACCCUGAUGGAGGACCGUAGCGAUUCUGACGUGCAAAUCGAUCGUCGGAACUGGGUAUAGGGGCGAAAGACUAAUCGAACCAUC